AUUGAACGCUGGCGGCAUGCCUUACACAUGCAAGUCGAACGGUAACAGGUCUUCGGAUGCUGACGAGUGGCGAACGGGUGAGUAAUACAUCGGAACGUGCCUAGUAGUGGGGGAUAACUACUCGAAAGAGUGGCUAAUACCACAUGAGAUCUACGGAUGAAAGCAGGGGAUCGCAAGACCUUGUGCUACUAGAGCGGCCGAUGGCAGAUUAGGUAGUUGGUGGGAUAAAAGCUUACCAAGCCGACGAUCUGUAGCUGGUCUGAGAGGACGAUCAGCCACACUGGGACUGAGACACGGACCAGACUCCUACGGGAGGCAGCAGUGGGGAAUUUUGGACAAUGGGCGCAAGCCUGAUCCAGCAAUGCCGCGUGCAGGAUGAAGGCCUUCGGGUUGUAAACUGCUUUUGUACGGAACGAAAAGCCCCGGGUUAAUACCCUGGGGUCAUGACGGUACCGUAAGAAUAAGCACCGGCUAACUACGUGCCAGCAGCCGCGGUAA
rnacentral:rRNA from 1 species